CUAAUACUCCUGAAUUCUGAUCGCCUUCUUUUCAGCAGCAGCAGCAGCAGCAGCAGCAACGCUGAUCCCGGCGGAGAGUCCCGGCCAAAGCAGGGGGGCACACAAGGGGCGGGAUGCGGCGGGGAAAGGCAGGCGAGUGCCCGCGGUGCGUGGGCGCUGCCGGCCGGGCCGCUGGUGCGGGAGGCCCGCGGUGAUGCUGCGCUGGUUCCGCGCUGGUGCUGCGCUGGUUCUCUGCCUCCCGGCUCCGCUCCGCGCUGUGCCGCCCGGCCGCCCUCGCAGGCGCUCUUCAGCGGGCGGGGGGAGGCGGCCGGACCCGCCUCCCUCAAGCCCGGCCCCUCCGCUUGUUGUCGCUGGUACCGGCACAGCCGCGCUCCGCCAGCGCCGGGGAUGCUAAGAGCGGCUCGGGGAGGAAAAGUGGGCGAAAAAAAGCGGGUUUUGGUGGAGCCCUGGACGCACCAAGCAGAGGGAGGGAGUGCUGUGAGCAGUUCCUCUCCACACAGAUCUCCAUGCAGAGGCUUCCCCAGUGGCACGAAUUCCCCUCUGUGGGCCAGAUGUGCUUCUCUCCUCGCAGGAGAUGAGUGUUUCCAUGGCUGAGCCGUCCUGCUGACAGCACUGAGAUUUCUGGAGUCACUGCUCCCUCCCAGGUGUGAAGUGGAUUGCUCUCUGGCCUGGGGCAGAUAAGCAGCCACAGCACUUCAUUGCUGCUUCUCCCAGCAUUGGAAAUCUUUUAAUUAGGAGUGAAAUAAACUGUCCACAUUGUUCCUUUCUUU
rnacentral:lncRNA from 1 species